GUGCAAUGGCUGAGCCUCACCCUGGGUGAACCACCUUCUUGAUCAUGGUAUCUCCCCUGCCAGAUUAUCAGGGGAGAGCGCGAACGCAGUCCCCCACUACCAGAAAUUAUGCAGUCGAGAUUCCCACAUUUGGGGAAUUCGCAGGGGUCAGCACAACCGGAGUGCAAUGGCUGAGCCUCACCCUGGGUGAACCACCUUCUUGAUCAUGGUAUCUCCCCUGCCAGUUGUUCAGUGGCCAUCUUUCUCUCAUCCCACUGGCGGAAAAACUGAUCCACAAGAUGCUGCGAGGCCAAUAAUCCUCACAUUAUGGCAAGAAGAGCAUUCCAGGUUUCCAUCUUGGGCAUAUAGCCCUUCCUUUUUAUUUUCAAAUGGUUAAUAUUGAUCUUAGGGCUGUAUUACUAGU